UACGAAGGGUGCAAGCGUUACUCGGAAUUACUGGGCGUAAAGCGUGCGUAGGUGGUUUGUUAAGUCUGUUGUGAAAUCCCCGGGCUCAACCUGGGAAUGGCAAUGGAUACUGGCAGGCUAGAGUGUGUCAGAGGAUGGUGGAAUUCCCGGUGUAGCGGUGAAAUGCGUAGAGAUCGGGAGGAACAUCAGUGGCGAAGGCGGCCAUCUGGGACAACACUGACGCUGAGGCACGAAAGCGUGGGGAGCAAACAGG
rnacentral:rRNA from 1 species